AGGCCAGGCACUACUCUGUCCCAACAAUAAGCCCUGUACAUUGGGAAAGGUGCCGAAGACAUGAACUUUGGUCUUCUCUGCAAUCCCUCUGGAGCAUUCAGUGACAACGUCGACUUUGAAGUUGCACUGACCUGGCCAGCCCUGCCACUUACCAGGUUGGGCUGUGGCUUGCCUUUUCACUUCUUGUGUCCUGUUUAAGAAAUAUCUGCUAUCCCAAGCAUCUGGCAUCUUUCUUGACAUACGUAGCAGUUGCUUUUUGACAGCUUGCUUCUGGAGUGAAUGAAUAAAUUAAUAAAUUUAUUCAUUUGAUAUUCAGUGACAUGUGAUAUUCAGUGAUCCAUUUUGCAGGCUCUUGAGUUUCUGCUUUCAAGUGACCCUCAGAAAUGCCCCCAUUCACUGCAGAGGUUCUGUUUCUCCUUGUUUUGUUCCGACUUUAUGGCAGAACUAGGUUAAUGAGUUAAUUACUAUGAGUUAUCACUUGGAUUUGAAGAACCAUCAUUUCUAGGCUUUGCUGCUCAGAGUGGGUUUGCCCUCAGGGGAAGCUAUCUAACCAGAGCCUAACCCACUAGGGUUUUAUCAGAACCUAACUGGCCUGAGGAAAAGAAAUAUUCAACUCCAGCAAGCUCCAGCCUUCCAAACGGAGGAGGAGAAAACCCAAAUCCAGCCCACUUCAGCUAUCUUGUCCCACAUAAAGGGGGAGUGGAAGAAACGUGAGAAGCAGGCAUGAAGUUCACAGUCCGGAGGCCUUGCCAUCGUAUCCCCUUUUGGAGACACAAGCCAGGAAGGAAGCUCUUCAGUGCAGCUGUGAAUAGAGAAACGCUGGCUGAGGUUUUGGGGACACUGGGUGAUCAUUCCCAGUGAAAUUUUUAGAUCCCUGGGGACAUGAGCUGCUUUGUCUUUUCCAAGGACAGCAGAUAGAGCAUGAAUGAGACCCCCAAAGAAGGGAAGCAAAUGAGGCAAGCCCCACAAUUAUUCUGGCUUUUUACCUAGAGACAAUCUAUGAACUGUGGGGCAAACAACAAAGAUCAAAACAGCUUGGCAAUCUGAAUUGAGGAUGAAGACACCAUUAGGGGCAGAAGUACAGGUAGCUCAAAUUUGUGGAGCAAAGUACCAGAGAAGAUAAACUGCUCCAAAUUCCAUGAGGCUGGGCAAGGAAAAACUUUGUGGAAAGAAGAAUUAUCAGGGAGCCCUAAGCUGAAAAAUUGCCAGGGCUCAUACAGACCUGGGGAAUUGGUUGAGUUUAUGCCACCUAUAGGAUAGAGAACUUGCUGAAUGUUCAAGGAUUUUGUUACAGAUGCCAGAAAGAUGACACUUAAAGGGAUGCAAAACUAACAUCUCUGGAUUAGUCUUAAUAGAGUUUAAAAAUAAGCUUAGAAAAAGUCAAA
rnacentral:lncRNA from 1 species